rnacentral:misc_RNA from 1 species
UUGCUUUUUGUUCUUGUGGGUAAUAACCCAAAAUGAAUGAAUGUGAAUGGAUGAAAGACGAAAUUGGAAUGAUAGUGUAACGGACUAAAAGCGUGAUGUAUGGUAAAAGAGGACUAGAUUUAAAGUUUAAUAUUUCUUUUUUUACAAAACUGAAAUAGAAUAAACUAAGUAGAAAUGAUAAUUUAAUUUGAUGAGGGGAAAUACCCCACAAUGAAUGAAUGCGGAUGGAUAAAAGAAGAAACUGCGGAAUGACAGUGCAAUGGAUUAAAAGCGAGAAGUAUGAUAAAAGAGACCUAGAGGUAAAUUAUACGUAUUGUAAAUAAGGACUCCGAAACAUAAAACUCGGAGGCGUAGGGAAAUUAAAAAAAAAAAAAAAAAAAAAAAUAUAACUCAAUUUGAAUAAAAAAAAAAAAAAAAAAAAAAAAAAAAAAAAAAAAAAAAAAAAAAAAAAAAAAAAAAAAAAAGAACAUGAAAAAGUUAAAAUUCCA